rnacentral:rRNA from 1 species
UUGAAUCUCGGGUCUAAUUGGUCGGUCGUGCCUCGGUACGUACUGGCUUUAUUGGUUUCUCCUUUCUGAAGACCAUGAUGUCAUUUAUUUGGUGUCUGGGGAAUCAGGACUGUUACUUUGAAAAAUUUAGAGUGUUUAAAGCAGGCUCACGCUUGAAUACAUUAGCAUGGAAUAAUGAAAUAGGACGUUUGAUUCUAUUUUGUUGGUUUCUAGGAUCGACGUAAUGAUUAAUAGGGAUAGUUGGGGGCAUUAGUAUUCAAUUGUCAGAGGUGAAAUUCUUGGAUUUAUUGAAGACUAACUACUGCGAAAGCAUUUGCCAAGGAUGUUUUCAUUAAUCAAGAACGAAAGUUAGGGGAUCGAAGACGAUCAGAUACCGUCGUAGUCUUAACCAUAAACUAUGCCGACUAGGGAUCGGAUGAUGUUAAUUUUAAUUGACUC